UACGAAAGGUCCAAGCGUUACUCGGAAUUACUGGGCGUAAAGGGCGCGUAGGCGGCUUGGCAAGUGGAAGGUGAAAUCCCUCGGCUUAACCGAGGAACUGCCCUCCAAACUGCUUUGCUUGAGGCCGGGAGAGGCGAGUGGAAUUCCCAGUGUAGCGGUGAAAUGCGUAGAUAUUGGGAGGAACACCAGUGGCGAAGGCGGCUCGCUGGACCGGUUCUGACGCUGAGGUGCGAAAGCGUGGGGAGCAAACAGG
rnacentral:rRNA from 1 species